rnacentral:rRNA from 1 species
AUUGAACGCUGGCGGCAGGCCUAACACAUGCAAGUCGAGCGGCUCGGCGGACGCGUGCGUAAUGCCUAGGAAUCUGCCUCGUGGUGGGGGAUAACGUCCGGAACCGGGCGCUAAUACUGCAUCCUAUCAGAUGAGCAUAGGUCGGAUUAGGUAGUUGGUGGGGUAAAGGUCUACCAAGGCGACGCCCCGUAACUGGGCUGAGAGGAUGAUCAGUCACACGGGAACUGAGACACGGUCCAGACUCCGACGGGAGGCAGCAGUGGGGAAUAUUGGGCAAUGGGGGAAAGCCUGAUGCAGCCAUGCCGCGUGAGUGAAGAAGGUCUUCGGAUUGUAAAGCACUUUAAGUUAGGAGGCGUUACCAACAGAAGAAGCACCGGCUAACUUCGUGCCAGCAGCCGCGGUAAUUC